rnacentral:rRNA from 1 species
UACGUAGGGCGCAAGCGUUAUCCGGAAUUAUUGGGCGUAAAGAGCUCGUAGGUGGCUUGUCGCGUCUGCCGUGAAAGCCCAUGGCUUAACUGUGGGUCUGCGGUGGAUACGGGCAGGCUGGAGGCUGGUAGGGGCAAGCGGAAUUCCUGGUGUAGCGGUGAAAUGCGCAGAUAUCAGGAGGAACACCGGUGGCGAAGGCGGCUUGCUGGGCCAGUUCUGACGCUGAGGAGCGAAAGCGUGGGGAGCGAACAGG